rnacentral:rRNA from 1 species
UACGGGGGGGGGCAAGCGUUGUUCGGAAUUACUGGGCGUAAAGGGCUCGUAGGCGGCCCUCUCAGUCGGAUGUGAAAUCCCCAGGCUUAACCUGGGAAUGGCAUCCGAUACUGGAGGGCUUGAAUUCGGGAGAGGGAUGCAGAAUUCCAGGUGUAGCGGUGAAAUGCGUAGAUAUCUGGAGGAAUACCGGUGGCGAAGGCGGCAUCCUGGACCGAGAUUGACGCUGAGGAGCGAAAGCUAGGGGAGCAAACGGGG